UCAGGCCUAACACAUGCAAGUCGAACGAUGAAGCUGGAGCUUGCUCCGGUGGAUUAGUGGCGAACGGGUGAGUAACACGUGAGAAAUCUGCCCUUGACUCUGGGAUAACUGCGGGAAACUGUAGCUAAUACCGGAUAUUUUCCUUGGUGGGCAUCCACUGGGGAAGAAAGAAUUUCGGUCAAGGAUGAUCUCGCGGCCUAUCAGCUAGUUGGUGAGGUAAUGGCUCACCAAGGCGACGACGGGUAGCCGGCCUGAGAGGGUGACCGGCCACACUGGGACUGAGACACGGCCCAGACUCCUACGGGAGGCAGCAGUGGGGAAUAUUGCACAAUGGGCGCAAGCCUGAUGCAGCAACGCCGCGUGAGGGAUGAAGGCCUUCGGGUUGUAAACCUCUUUAGCAGGGAAGAAGCGAAA
rnacentral:rRNA from 1 species